UUCGCUUAAGGGCUCCUCCACGAGUACAACCAUCCGGCCUGACCAGAGGAAUGUGGAUCAACAUGACUAUUACGGCGGAAGUAUAAAUGGAUACGGAUAUGUGGGGCGGCCCUUCCAGAGAGAGAUUAACGUAGGAUUGGUGAUUACGUUAUCCCGGUCUCGGGAUACGAGGGUCAAGCUGAAGAGCUCCUUGGCUGUGAGUCUGCUCAAGAUUUCACGGAGGAGAUCGUCCGCUGUCAUGACGACCUCCGCUCUUAUUGAGGUGGUGGGUGAUUGGGUGAUGCGGCGGCGUUGGGUGGCACGAGAGGAUGAAGCGGCUGUGGCGGAGGAGGCGGAGAUCAUGAGUCGUGAGGUAUAAGAAGGAGAAGAAAGGCGUUGGCUUCUUCUUGGGGAUUGGGAGGCGGUGGUCAUCGGAUUCAUUUCGUAGGGGAACAAAGAAGUGGGCUAGC
rnacentral:lncRNA from 1 species